GGUGUCUCACUCCAUCAGUCAGUCUGAUUACUGGUGCAGUGAGGGUGGACUGGUUAUAAUUGAGGCAAAAAAAGGAUAGAGUCUCCUACCAGCGACAUCGCCGGCUGACUAAUUAGCCAAGGAGGAAAGCUCCGAGCUCCGGUAAAGAGGGUGAUGGGCGCCGACUUGUCAUUGACGAAUCACCGGUUACUGAGAGGAAUGAGGCACCGCUGGGACAGAGACUUUCAUGGGGAGUUCGUUCACACUUCUGCAGCCUGGAGGGUGGUGAUGUGAAUGGAAGUGAACACUUGGCCUCCACCUCGCCUGACACAGAAUUUCUGGAUAAAUCUUUGUUUCCAUAUGGUGCAUAUUUAAUUGACCCAAAUAAAUAUUCUGGGAUUCUCACGAGGACUGACUAAAUAUGAACUGGAAGGAACAGUUUAAGAGCAAAAUAUUAGGAGGAUUGAAUUCCAUAAAUUACUCUGGCUAUCCGACAGCCGUUCUUCACUGGCUAGUUUUAUGUCAGUGUCAAGCAGCUAAAGCUGCCAGUUGAAGAACUGUUGAGGUUGGCUAUUUGCAACGGGACACUGAAGAGGAUGUGAAUGUGUGGCUUUGUGGGCCAGAAGGGACUUAACUGUUCUAGUCUUGUACCUACUUUCUGUGAUUCACGCACAAGAAGCAUAAGAACUGAUGCUGCACUAUUUGGUGUCAUUAGCAAGGUACGUUACUAUAGUUCAGGCCAUAAUUACUCUAAACUGAUGAAUAAAUGGCUUGCAGUGUUUAAGGUUAUUUCAAGUAGAAGUUUCUACAGUGUAUGAUAUAAAAAUGUGUAAGGGAGUUUAAGUGAUGAUGCAGAAACUGCUUACAUACAAAUGAUUAGCAUCAGAAAACAGUCCUGAUGCAUGUAUUUUUUCAUUUAUCCAUAUUGAGUACAGAGAUUGAAAGAGCUUUAAUGUACUUUUCUUUAACAAAAUGCUGUUAUAGAAUUCAAUUUAAAGCAACGGAAUAAUAGAAUAAUUUCCUUAUGUGCUGCAUGACUAUUUGAAUGUGGUUUUAAGUUGUAAACUGCCAGUGAUUUUAAUUGAAUAAUCUAAUUUGUGAUUUUUAAAAUUAAAAUUAAACAAUGUACUCCUAAUAAUAGAUUACCCUGUGCUGUCACAGCAUAAAACAAACUAGAACUACAAUCCCAUAAGCCUUCUCUGGCACUUGUUGCACUACAGUAUCUAUUGACUUUACUACUGUCUCCUCAGAAUCUGAGUCUGCCUCCAAUCUGCCAUUUUAAAUUCUUUGUACAGAGACCAAAUAUGUCUUUUGCUGUGGCUUUCUGACAUUUUUUAUUAAAUGACUCCCUAUGUAGCAUUGAAAGCCACUGUGACCCUCCAUAGAGCUAUCACUUUUGUAUGAGAAGUCAAAGACAACUGUCAGUAGCUAACAAGUGUUUGUGAAGACGAACUAUGCAAAGCAAAUGGAUGCCAGGAAAUGAUGCUUGUAAAUAAUACUUUUUUUUUGAAGUGAUCGUUUUUAAGUUAGAUAAUUCAUUAUUGUCUAUGGCUUUAGGGCCAUUCAAUACUCAACACUUAAUUACGCAUCUAGCCAUUUAAUUUAUUGUGUCUAUACAUGUGAAUAAAAUACUCGGUGAUAUCACUGAAAAUGAAUGUUGCUUUGUCUAAUUUUGAUAUCAAUAUUUCUCAAAUUACAAAGAUUUUACACCUGGCUGAGGGCAGACACUAUGAUUUAAGUGGGACAGUACAACAGAAUAACCUGUAAUUAGCCAUAAAGUAGAUUAACAAUUUUGGAAACUAAGCUAAUUGUGUUAAACCAAGGAACUCCUUAAAGACACAACUUACUAAUAAUCAGUUUUCCUUUUAUGUUGAGAGUAAUAGAGGCGUCUUUGUUUUGUUUUAAAACUGCAGAUCUUCUAAAUAGCCGAUAUCACUUGUAUUGUUUUUAAAAGUCAACAGCCAACAUCACUUCAUGUGUUUUUUCCCUACCAUUUUGAAAUUGUUUCAUUUGGUUCCUGUAAAGAAGCAUAAUUUCCUGUUCUGAAUAGACAGACCUUGAUCUGAGAUCUGUGCUGUUAUUGAAACUAAUUCAAGAUUAGAUGAAAUUUGAUUGUGACAACUUAUCAUGGCCAUGUAUAGACAAUGACUGAACCAAUCCAUAAGUAUUGGCUUGAACCUGUCCCUGAUAUUAUUAGCAUAGUGUGUUUUUAAAAUGUGAAUGUGCCUUGCUGGUCAUAGUGUUUGAAUUGUCUGAGUUGCAAAAAUUUAUCCUGAAUAUUUCAAAUUUUGUAGUCAUUGAAGAUUAAAGAAAAGGAUCUAACGUAGAAUUGAAGUUAAUGUCUAUUAAUGAGUGAAUCCUUUUAAAAUGGUAUGGUUUUGGUUUGAGCAAAAGUUGGUUUUUCAGUAGUUACUCUAUUCAUACAAAAUGCUUCACCAUUAUUUUAUAUUUCUGGACCUUUCCCAAUGCAUUUUUCUAAAAAAUUCAAGCUUGUCCAAAAAAAAACAUGAGAACCAAUUUAAUAUCUUAAUGGAUGGAUCACAGUUGCAUAUGAUAUUGGAUCUUGGCUUACUGUCAAGCUAGUGAAGAGAAAUGGAAGAUUGGACUACUAAACACCAGUAGAGGCAGAGAUCUAAUGAAUGGGGGAGGAGCUUUGAAUGUGAUGUUGGAAGAAGAAACAAUACUCCACUUGGCUCACAUCUCAGUUUUGAAACAUAUUUCUAUGUUGCUUGAAGUCUGCAGCAGUUCUUCUUAGGCUGUUAGGCUAUCAGUAAAUUUGUUUUUUUUCUAGAUGCAGUCGUUGCUGUCUCCUUGGCAAACCAAUAUUGCUGCUGACAUUAAUGCAUGGAGUAUCUUUUUUUUUUUAAAAAUUGCCAUGACUGGCAGUGUAUGUUUGACUCCGCAUUGUGUAUACAAUGUAUACACAAUGUAUACUCAAGGCUGUUUUAAGAUCUGAAAUAGGUACUGUUUGUUUAAAUUUCUGACCAUGAACUAGUUUACUAUAAUAAAUAGUUAUUUUCAUACUGAGAUUGUAUGUUGCCUUGUGUGCCAUAAAUGGAAUUGCAUACUGCAGUGUUAAUAAGAUGUUCUUCAUGCUGUUUGUACUGAGGUGCCAAAUAUCACACUAGCACUGAGCAUGAUUUCUUUUUAACAAGUAAAUAACGUCACAGAAGCUUUGAAAAACAAGACAAAAUAUUGAUGGUAUAAAUACUUAAAUUUUGAACUCUUGUUGAGUUAUUUAUUUUGCAAUCUGGUAAUAUGUAAGAUGUUUGGAAACACUUGAGUAGACUUCCUGAUGUGAUUGGAUGUGGAUGGAUGAGUUGAUAGGCUUCCUAAUCAGUUUUAGAAACUGAUUAGGAAGCCUAACUUAAAGAUAUUAAACGAUGAAUUGCUUUGCUUUAGUAAAUAAAAUCCAAAAGAACUACAGAUGCUGUAA